rnacentral:sRNA from 1 species
GGAGGAGGGGCAUGGAGCCGCCGCGGGCCUGCUGAGCUCCGGAGCGCGGCAGCCGGCGGCACGCCUCGCCUCCCUCCUCCCCGGCGGCUCCUGUUUUGUGAAUGAAUUAGGAGGCGGACGCCGGUGCGGGGCUCCAGGCUGGCUGGGGUACCCCUCCCCCGCACCUUCUACGACCUCCCGGGGGUUUGCACCUGUCCGGGCACCAAGGUACCAGGCGCCCACGUUCCUGCGGGUUAGCCGGGCCGCGGCAGCACGUGUCCGGGGGAGUGGGCUCCCCUCCCCUGGCCGGCCUGGAGGGGCCCGGAGGGCGGCCGGGCACAAGAGGAGGAGCCCCGCUGGGCGCACAAGUUUCCAUGCCGCCGCGUGUGGCCCUGCCGCGGGGCGCACCUGUCAGCGGGAGAGACGCUGCACACCAGCAGCCCCUCAAAGUUUCGGAGGCUUGAUGGAGAAGCGUGCGUCCUUGACUGGGGGUUCUCCUUC